ACUCAAAGGAAUUGACGGGGGCCCGCACAAGCAGCGGAGCGUGUGGUUUAAUUCGACGCACCACGCAGGACCUUACCCAGACUGGACAUGGCACUGCAAGCCGGUGAAAGCCGGUCGCUUUCGAAGGUGUGCCACAGAUGCUGCAUGGCUGUCGUCAGCUCGUGUCGUGAGAUGUUGGGUUCAGUCCCGCAACGAGCGCAACCCCCGUGGCCAGUUACCGGUGUCUGGCCAGACAGCCCUUCGGGGAGGAAGGCGGGGAUGACGUCAAGUCCGCAUGGCUCUUACGUCUGGGGCGACACACACGCUACAAUGGUCGGCGCAAUGCGCAGCGACGGGGCAACUCGGAGCUAAUCGCCAAGGCCGGUCUCAGUGCAGAUCGGGGGCUGCAACUCGCCCCCGUGAAGGCGGAGUUGCUAGUAACCGCGUAUCAGCGAUGGCGCGGUGAAUACGUACCCGGGCCUUGUACACACCGCCCGU
rnacentral:rRNA from 1 species